AUGGUGGGGACAGAAGAGAGGUGGUGGGGACAGAAGAGAGGUGGUGGGAUGGGAGAGAGGUGGCGGAGACGGGAGAGAGGUGGUGGGGACGGGAGAGAGGUGGCGGGGACAGGAGGAGAGGUGGCGGGGACGGGAGAGAGGUGGCGGGACGGGAGAGAGGUGGUGGGACGGGAGAGAGGUGGUGGGGACGGGAGAGAGGUGGUGGGAUGGGAGAGAGGUGGUGGGAUGGGGAAAGAGGUGGUGGGGACGGUAGAGAGGUGGUGGGACGGGAGAGAGGUGGUGGGACGGGAGAGAGGUGGUGGGACGGGAGAGAGGUGGUGGGACGGGAGAGAGGUGGUGGGGAUGGAAGGAGGGUGUUUAAAUCAUUAUGUUAAUACACUCUAUAAUACUCAGGUAAUAAUGCUCACCUCUACCCUCGUGGCGUUAGACUGCAUGGUUGGUCAUGGAUCUAUUGUCUGUAGUGUUAGAUUGGAUGGUUGGUCAUGGAUCUAUUGACUGUAUUGUUAGAUUGGAUGGUUGGUCAUGGAUCUAUUGUCUGUAGUGUUAGAUUGGAUGGUU
ensembl:lncRNA